CAGAUCCUGGCUAUCUGGGGAUAUGUGGUGCGAAUGGGAAAUGUUCGGUUAUUUUAAAGUUAUGUAUUUUUAUGUAUUUUCUGGUAUUGUAUUUAAGAUGGCAAUUUGUCUUUGUCCUGGAGAUAAUUGAAUUACUUCCCAAUUAUCUCCAGGGCAGAGGGGAGGAAACCAUAUUGCAUUGUGGGAAAAGGUUACAUCUGCAUGUCUGAAAUGUCCCCAUGUCUAUCUGUCAUUACAGUCUCCCAUUUGGUCCCCUAGGGGAGUGUCCACCAAGUGGGAGACCUGCAUAAAU